UUAAGAAUUCAUCUAAGGAUUGUGCUACCAAAUUUAGUGGAGAAGGGAUAUUUAAUUGAGGUUCUAAUAGAAGGAUUGAAGAAGAAUUAAGCAUGGAUUCCAGCUCAAAAGGUAAUAAUUUACCUCUGUUAUGUUCAUUGAAUAGGCUCUUUAAGUAAAAUAAGUAAAAUAAAGAAGUUAUGUAAUUGGGUUGUAUAAGG
rnacentral:lncRNA from 1 species